rnacentral:rRNA from 1 species
CAGCAGCCGCGGGAAUACGUAGGGUGCGAGCGUUAAUCGGAAUUACUGGGCGUAAAGCGUGCGCAGGCGGCUUUGCAAGACAGAUGUGAAAUCCCCGGGCUCAACCUGGGAACUGCAUUUGUGACUGCAAGGCUAGAGUGCGGCAGAGGGAGAUGGAAUUCCGCGUGUGGCAGUGAACUGCGUAGAUAUGCGGAGGAACACCGAUGGCGAAGGCAAUCUCCUGGGCCUGCACUGACGCUCAUGCACGAAAGCGUGGGGAGCAAAUGGGAUUAGAUACCCGUGUAGUCCCUGUCUCUUAUAC